AUGAAGAGGAAUGGUGACAUUCAGUCCUUUUUUCGGAAUUAUGAGGCUGCUAAAAGAAAGAAGGUUGCAGCCGAAGAGCAACCUGAAGAUAUAGUGUCAAAUAUUGAAGAUGAAGCAGUCCAUAAUCCACCUCCAGUCCAUUCUGCAGAGAUUGAAUUUGAUAUUGAAGAUGAAGCAGUCCAUUCCGAUGUAGAGAUUGAAAGUGAUUGUGAAGAUGAAGCAGUCCAUUCUCCGUGUGCAAGGCCAUAUAAUAUUCAAAGGCUUCCUCCUGAUCCAGGGGAGAGGAUUCCUAUUUCAGAGUAUGAUGUCGAUGAUCAAGAUGAAGUUCGGAGACGAUACAUUGCAAAGCAAGCAGUCCAACCAUAUGCACACAACUUUCAAGUCAGAAAAAUCUAUGGAAAAUCGAAUGGGGGGCCUAGGGGUGAUGCCUUUGUUAAUGGUGGUUGGAAAAAUUGGUAUAAGCCCGAUGCAUUGGUCAAACAUGUUUUCAAUCUUCACUUGAUGCUUGUUAUUCUUGGCUAUACAAAUGAGUUGUCCAAAUCUGUGCAAAAGAGAGAUCAAGAUAUUGUCAAUGCAAUGACACUUGUUAGUUUGGCGAAGAGUAGAAUGCAACACAUGAGGUCUCAUGGUUGGGAAGAAUUUCUUGCAAAGCUAACCUUAUUUUGCAACAAACAUGACAUUCAAGUUCCUUUGUGGGAGGAUAUUUAUAAGCCUAAUCGAAGAUCACGUCGGUAUUAUGAAGUACAAACAAAUGAUGAUCGUUAUAGAAGAGAAGUAUAUCUUGGUGUCAUUGAUCAAACCAUUCAAGAGCUUGACAAUCGGUUUGAUGAGGUUAAUACGGAGUUGCUUAUUUGCAUGUCGGCUUUGAAUCCCCUCAAUUCAUUUGCUUCUUAUGAUGCACUCAAGGUAAUGAGACUUGCUGAAUUCUAUCCCAUGGACAUUUCAAGCACAGAUUUGAUAAGGCUAGAAUUUCAACUUACUAAUUUUAUUGAUGAUAUGAGACAAGAUGAUAGGUUUAGAAAUGCAAGUAAUAUUGGUGAGCUCUCUAUUAUGCUUGUUGCAACAAAGAAGCAUGUUCUUUAUGACUUGGUCUACUUACUCAUCAAAUUGAUAUUGAUUUUACCGGUGGCGACGGCAAGUGUUGAAAGAGUAUUUUCAGCAAUGAAUCUAGUGAAAAAUAAGUUGAGGACUACUAUGGGUGAUGAUCGCUUGAAUGAUUGCUUGGUGACAUUUGUUGAACGGGAUGUGUUCAUGGAAGUAAGCAAAGAUGACAUAGUUAAUGCUUUCAUGGCAAUGCAAAAACGUAGAGUUACCUAG
rnacentral:rRNA from 1 species